GACCCAACAUGCUCCCGCACCUAACCUUGACCUUAUAGCUAUAUAUAAUAGGUGCUGAAAUGCGCCAAUCAAAGCCAAAGCUUUAUCCCUUGGAUAUGCCGCCUUAGGGCAACAUCCCCCUCUGACGAAUUUUGCUUUUGCGAUUCAAUGGCAUAAAGAAGGGCACCCACAGUUCACUACUGUUCAGUGGCUAAGGUCACUUGGGGCACUCAAAGGCGUGACCUCUUGCUACUCCUACAUAGAGGCACAUAAGAAACUUGUGUAUCGGUGGUACCUCACACCUCACAAACUACAUAAAAUUUAUCCGGCAACUCCGAACACGUGCUGGCGAUGCACUAAUGAUAUAAGGACAAUGAGGCAUGUCUGGUGGGACUGCCCAAAUAUUUCACCAUUGUGGACUGAAGUCCAAC